CUGACCCCCUAGUACAGAGCAGGACUUUUUUUAGGCCUGUAACUCAUGCCAAUUCAGCAGCCUAGGGCACAUCUCAACUCAAGUGCCUCUCACACGGAGUCCUGGAAAGUGACCGUGACUCUAGGCGGCUCUGAGAUUGGAGGCAGGGCUGCAGAGCGGGUGGAAGGAAGCGGAAGUGAUUCGACUCAGGUCAACAGCAUCAACUCAGCACCUACUGUGAGGCGGACACACCAGGUGAGAAGAAAAUGUGGACAAUUAAACCCUCAUGUGGGAACCCAGGUAGAGCAAACCACGCAGCCCAGGCUGACUCGCCCAUCCUCUCCAGUGCGUGCGGGUAAAGCGAGAAUCCCAUGGUACAGCAUCAACCCCCAGCAAGGAAAGCAGCUAUUGAAACUUGCUGAGCACGGAACAGCGGGGACAGAUCAUACCGAAACCAUGAACUAAGGAAAGGCUCCUUUUCGGGUUCUGAAAUCAGUCAAUCACUGAGCCGGCCACGUGAGCCCAGCCUCAGACCCCUGGAUUUGAAAACUGCAAUUGAAAGCAGCAGAAAGUACUGGGAUAUUUGCAAGAAGACAAAAGAAUUCACCCAGGAAAUCCUGUUUAAGACGGAGAGAGGAUUCCCAGGAUUGGUCUGCUUGGGUAACCACGAUAAGGAAGCUAAAGAACCAAGAAGCAGCAUACAGUCUGACCCACAAAGAGGAAUGCAAUACAGUUCUACAGAUGAACUGAAACUGAAAUAAAUAUUUGUAAGAUGACAGCCUGGAAAGAUAAACACGAGUGACAGAGGAGUGAUGCAGAUGACAAUGCGUGAAGUCAGGAUUUCCGAGCUGGAAGAAUCCUGAGUGUACCUAGUCUUGUAAGGGAAGAAUUCACUGUGGGGUUAAAAGUUCAAGAAAGACUCUUCUAAAGUUGAAACCUGGGGCCGGCCCGGUGGCGCAGUGGUUAAGUGUCCAUGUUCCGCUUCUUGGAGGCCCGGGAUUCACCACUUUGGAUCCCCGGUAGGGACAUGGCACCGCUUGGCAAAAAGCCAUGCUGUGGUAGGUGCCCCACGUAUAUAGUAGAGGAAGAUGGGCACGGAUGUUAGCUCAGGGCCAGUCUUCCUGAGUAAAAAGAGGAGGAUUGGCAGAUGUUAGCUCAGGGCUAAUCUUCCUCAAAAAAAUAAAUAAAAAUAAAAAAAUAAAGUUGAAACCUAAGCUAUGCCUUAAAGGGUGGGUUUUCCUACUCAGGUGGUGAGGAAAUGGAAUCAAGUGCACGUAUGUUGGUAAUGGGGUGCAAAAAUGUGGAAAUAGGUGUAUGACAUUUUGUUUAGCAGCCAUAUAGAAAAGCCUCUUUCUAGCUACAGUGGGAAAGGAUGGGGAGAUGUGAAAAAUAGGCCAAGGUCGUAUUGUGUCGGUCUCUGGGGUAACACUCCAAGGAAUUUGGCUGUGGACCUUUGGGAGCCACUGAAGACUCCGGAACUGUGAAGCAAGAAGAUAAAAUAGGGUAUUCGGGGAAGAUCCAUCCCACACCCAGCACCACAUGUCUGGGCCAUCAAACCAGCUGGACUGCCCCUCCAUGAGAAGCAGCUAAAAACAGUUCUGUGGUGGUCAUGUUUACUCAGCAAGCAAAUAGCUAAGCAAAUAUGUCUUCUUUCAGGAUGAAUCUGGACUUUCCAAACCCUUGGGGGACAACUUCAUACACAACCCACAGGGCCUCUGCUGAAUGUCCCUUACAGCCUGAUGGCAAAGCCAUUCCUGGCACUCGAUGGUGAUGCUUUCUUUUCAAUGCUCCUGGUAAAUUAAAUCUCCUGGAAGGCACCUUCCCUGAACCUUUUCCCCCUCCGCUUAACUCUUUCCAUUUUCACUGCUUCCCCCAAACUGAAUUUAUAUGCGUCAUUGGCAAAUUGUUGACGAUGACGUAAACACUUGCUACAGAGAAGUCCCAACUUCUGAUGCCUAGUAGUAGUAGUAAAAUAAAGAGUUUGCUCCCCACUGUCUUCUUAGUAUACUCAUUCCACUUUUAAAAAGAUCCACUGAUUUAGGCAAGCCUGUUCUACAAAGCUAGGAACACAAAGAUGUGAGCGAACGGGGCCCUGGUUUAUGUUAGAGAACUUGAAGGAAACUCAGCGUUGAAGUAGCUCUUGUGUGGUAUGGUAACACCUAGUGGCAAAGUGUGAUGUUAUAACUCAGCCCUGUUAAACAUGGUGAAUACAGUCAAUCCUCAUUACUCGUGGAUUCCAUAUUUGUGUAUUUUCUUACCUGCUGAAAUUUAUUUGUAACCGC
ensembl:lncRNA